UGGGGAAUUUUGGACAAUGGGCGAAAGCCUGAUCCAGCAAUGCCGCGUGUGUGAAGAAGGCCUUCGGGUUGUAAAGCACUUUUGUCCGGAAAGAAAUCCUUGGCUCUAAUACAGUCGGGGGAUGACGGUACCGGAAGAAUAAGCACCGGCUAACUACGUGCCAGCAGCCGCGGUAAUACGUAGGGUGCAAGCGUUAAUCGGAAUUACUGGGCGUAAAGCGUGCGCAGGCGGUUUGCUAAGACCGAUGUGAAAUCCCCGGGCUCAACCUGGGAACUGCAUUGGUGACUGGCAGGCUAGAGUAUGGCAGAGGGGGGUAGAAUUCCACGUGUAGCAGUGAAAUGCGUAGAGAUGUGGAGGAAUACCGAUGGCGAAGGCAGCCCCCUGGGCCAAAUACUGACGCUCAUGCACGAAAAGCGUGGGGGAGCAAAACAGGAUUAGAUACCCUGGUAGUCCACGCCCUAAAACGAUGUCAACUGGUUGUUGGGGAUUCAUUUCCUUAGUAACGUAGCUAACGCGUGAAGUUGACCGCCUGGGGAGUACGGUCGCAAGAUUAAAAACUUAAAUGAAUUGACGGGGUCAUAGCUGUUUCCU
rnacentral:rRNA from 1 species